CCAGAGAACUUAGCAGAGAUGCUUUGGUGCCUUCGGGAACUCUGAGACAGGUGCUGCAUGGCUGUCGUCAGCUCGUGUUGUGAAAUGUUGGGUUAAGUCCCGCAACGAGCGCAACCCUUAUCCUUUGUUGCCAGCGGCUCGGCCGGGAACUCAAAGGAGACUGCCGGUGAUAAACCGGAGGAAGGUGGGGAUGAUGUCAAGUCAUCAUGGCCCUUACGGCCAGGGCUACACACGUGCUACAAUGGCGCAUACAAAGAGAAGCGACCUCGCGAGAGCAAGCGGACCUCACAAAGUGCGUCGUAGUCCGGAUUGGAGUCUGCAACUCGACUCCAUGAAGUCGGAAUCGCUAGUAAUCGUAGAUCAGAAUGCUACGGUGAAUACGUUCCCGGGCCUUGUACACACCGCCCGUCACACCACGGGAGUGGGUUGCAAAAGAAGUAGGUAGCUUAACCUUCGGGAGGGCGCUUACCACUUUGUGAUUCAUGACUGGGGUGAAGUCGUAACAAGGUAGGCGUAGCGAG
rnacentral:rRNA from 1 species